GCUCCGGUGGCACAAUCGGUUAGCGCGCCGUACUUAUAAAUAGUAACUUCCGCCCUACGUCGUAGGGUUGAGGCAUGCGGAGGUUGUGAGUUCGAUCCUCACCCGGAGCA
rnacentral:tRNA from 1 species